UGGACGACUCUCGGCAACGGAUAUCUCGGCUCUCGCAUCGAUGAAAAACGUAGCGAAAUGCGAUACCUGGUGUGAAUUGCAAAAUCCCGUGAACCAUCGAGUCUUUGAACGCAAGUUGCGCCCGAGGCCAUCCGGCUAAGGGCACGCCUGCCUGGGCGUCACGC
rnacentral:rRNA from 1 species